CAAUCUUCGCGCGACUGGCGAUAAGGGCCUGCCCGGACACCCGGCAGGCCCCAGGUGGAACACCACCGGGGAGCGCGGGCCAGGGCGGGCCAUCCAGCCCUGGCGUCAGCCGUUCGCCUGGGCAGCCCUG
rnacentral:ncRNA from 2 species